rnacentral:tRNA from 1 species
GGGGCUGUAGCUCAGUUGGGAGAGCGCAUGACUGGCAGUCAUGAGGUCAGCGGUUCGAUCCCGCUCAGCUCCAC